UACAGAGGUCUCAAGCGUUGUUCGGAUUUAUUGGGCGUAAAGGGUGCGUAGGUGGCGAGGCAAGUCAGAUGUGAAAUCCCGGGGCUCAACCCCGGAACUGCAUUUGAAACUGCCUUGCUCGAGUACUGGAGAGGAGACUGGAAUUUACGGUGUAGCAGUGAAAUGCGUAGAUAUCGUAAGGAAGACCAGUGGCGAAGGCGAGUCUCUGGACAGUUACUGACACUGAGGCACGAAGGCCAGGGGAGCAAACGGG
rnacentral:rRNA from 1 species